UAUGUGUAUUUAUCAAUCUACGUAUCCCUCUAUCAUCCAUCUAUCCCAUCAUUCGGUACAUCCGUGCAUUUCCAUUUAUUCACAAUCGAUUUCCUAUCAAUCAGCCAUCUGUCAGUCAAUUUAUCCAUCAAUAUAUCUUAAUCAUCUAUCCAUCCAUCCUUUGGUCCAUAUUUAACCAUCUAUUCAUCCAUCUGUGUACCUAUCUAAUCAAUCGUCCAUCCAGCCAUCGGUCCAUCUAUCCAUCUAUCUUUCCAUCUAGCUAGCUACACUAUCUAACCCAUCAUAUGUUUUAACUUGCUUCUACUCCUUUUUGGACCAGCAGUACAUGGUUUAUCAGGAUGAGAUAGUUAUCAUGUAAUUUAUUUAUUUAUUUAUUUUUGCGAGUAAUGCAUGUUCCACAGAAAAUGCUCAAUGUAUCUACCUAUCUACCAGCCAUCUGUCAUCUAUCUAUCUAUCUAUUCUAAUCUAAUCUAUCAUCCACACAUCCAUACCGUCAGUGCACCAACGUCAUUCCAACCCCCGUGAGUGCGCAGCUCCGGGUUGCGCUUCGCCUGAAUGUGGGUCAUACGAGGUGGGGAGGGGCGGGAUGAGCAGCUCUGCGUGGGCGGGCGGGGCUUCGCUCUUUUAUUUCAAGUCCACGCACGAGCGCGAAAGCCCCGCAGGCAGGCAAGGCAAGGCACACAUCACACAGUGAGUCCAGCACACAACCACGAAGGAAGGAAGGAAGGACGAGUCGACACGCUUUCACAAAAUGGAGCCCGCUUCGCUCCUUUUGUCCUUUUGGACGAAAUUUUUACGCCCCCAUACGCCACAUGUCUUCUCUUCGUUGUUUUCUUUUUCUUUCGUUUUUUUUUUUGGGGGCGGGGGGUUCGCCUGUUGUGGGCCGCCUACUGCCUUGCUAGUGCUAGCCUCGCUCUCGUCGCCGCCCCCCCCCCCCAACCUACCUCUUCCCUGGUUUCCUUCACGCCUUUUGACACCAUUUCCAGGUAAUUAUACAUUCAAAAUGUACAUUGUGUUGUAUAAGCUAGUUCUGUACCAUGUUAGUAUUUCAGGUGAAUCAAAAAUAACUCAUUUUGCCCUUUUUCUUAAAUAAAUAAAUAAAAAUAACUGUACCACAUUUGAUGAAAUAAAGUAGUUCAUGGCCGUGGGACAAAUUACAA